GUCGUUAUUGCACGUUGGAUUGCACCAGGCAAUGCAAAGGAGCGACAAGACAGCCAGGACGGACAGGAGGAGAAACCGGAGAGUCAUGCUGCUGGAUAAACGGCUGGAGUCUUCUGGUUGGAGAGCCACUCCAGCACGGUGUCCAGCUCUCCCACCGCCUUCUGGGCCGCCUGGCUUAUCUGGAGCUGCUCAGCAUGAAGGAGAAGCACAGGGUGGGAGAAGAAAAAGUGGAAAAAUAGGUUAAGUGAUGAACAUAAUUACACAGACAAAACAUAGUUGGUCUUUAUGGUAAAAGAGGUUUCGUCAAAGCAGCUACAACAUGUGUCUUCUAAACCCAUUGUGUUUACAUUAUUCAGUUUAAUGAUUCUGCCCUCAGCACAAUGACAAAAGUUAAUUUAGAAUAUUUUCGUGUCAGUUUGUUGCAUGUUAAUCCAGGAUUUAUGAAAAAAAAGUCUAUUUGGGGUUUGAAUUAUGGAGAAAGAGAUUUCCUAUUAAUGGCAAACAGACAAAAUUCUUUAAAUUUAGAUUUUAAAGCUCUUUAGUCUUUGAAUCCCUGUGACCCUCUGUGUGAUUGUGUUACAUUCUUUGUAACAAAACUAAAUAUUCACUUCAGCAGAAGCUGUGUUACAAUAGAUGACUUUUAUAUCACUUAGGAUAUCAUUUGAAUAAGUGAUUUAAAUAGAUUCUGGGGUUUACUCCUUUGCACCCUCUGCAGUUAACAUGAGGAAAUGUUUUCUGUGUCUACAGUGAGUGUUUUUCUGUGUUCUGCAUACCUUGAUGAACUCAGCGUGCACAGAGUCCAUUUUUCUCUGGGUUUCUUCCUCACAGAGGCAGUGCUGCACAGAGCAGAGGACAACUAUCAGUACAAUGUGGGAUGCUUUCAAUCAAAGCACAUUUUCUAGUUAAACAAACUUGUUGAAGUCCUAACUUACACAUUUGUGUAUAUCUCUUCUGAUGCUGAUGAAAGCGUUGGCCAGAGCGCUGGAGCAGCGCUGCUGCUGCGGAUGAGAAGAGGCGUAGUUGCUGAAAACUCUCUCCACAUAGAAACGCAGCACCAGGCGUAUGAAGCAGCACGUUUGACCCUCCUGAUAGAGACAUACCAUGGUCAGAAUACAGCACCUUUAACACACUUCUACUGGUACUCAUAUAGGGCAGACAAAUGUGAUGAAUGUAAAGAUAAAAUAAGAUGAACAGCUUGUAAUCAUCACUCACAGGUAACAAAAAACCUCACCUGAAGAUCUUUCAUUAAUGAUUUAUCCAGAAGUUUCACUCCAAUUUCACUGUCUUCUGAUAUCUGUCAUGUAAAAAACACAGCAGAUCAAAUUAGAAUCACUGUCUGCAGGUUUCCUUCCUCUUAAAAGUGUCAUAAACAGUAUUUGUUGUGAACAGUUUCUGACAUGUCAUGUGUGUCCUGCAAGUUAUUCUGAGUGAAAGGCUGCACUGGAUUAUUGAGAGAUACAGGUUUGAAAAAGAAUGUCUUACCGCAUUUGAUCGUAUGUCAGUGUAAUAUUUGCGCAGUUCAUGCAUGUGAACAUUGACAGAGCAGCUGUUCAGAUGCAGAGUUCCACUCUCCACAGGUUCAGUCAGACAGAUGAGGAGCAGCAGCAGCAGAGAGACGGAGCAGCCGAGCAGCAUCUUCAUCGCCACGGUUAUCUGGAGGCAAAACUAACAGACAUUUUGUAUGUUGAAAUAUCUUUAAGAAAAAAAAAUAUAUACCACAUAGAUAUAUUUAGAUUGGUAGGGUUUCAAUUAAAGAUAAGCUUGGUCAUUGAUUUGUCUGUUAAGCAUGUGUUUGAUCAAUCGAGGAAUUGUCCAUAAAGUCAAGAAGUACCAAAUGUUCAAAAAUCUACGUAAUUCAGAAGCAAAUGUUUUAUUUUUUUUGCUAAAUAAAUGAGUAAUCAAUUGAUAGAAUAGCAUUUUCUGACAAUAAACACAAUACACAUGCAAUUCUUCACCCGUGAAAUACAUUUAAGCACAUGAAAUAUAGUAAUGAUAGUCACCAGCACCAUCCCCAGAACUGUGUUUAAACUCACCUGUGUGUGUGUUAAUCAGACCAAGAGUCCUGGAAACGAUGUGUCUCUGAGCCUCCAUGCUGUCGCCUCUUAUAGUGCAGUGAGGGGGAUUUUCACCAGAGGUUAUACAACUGUUUGGGUCUGUACUGGAAAUAAAGCCUCCUUCAGCACAAUAUGAGACAUUACCCAACUUCUUUCCCUUGAGGAGCCCUCUCCCACAUGGAGUGACUUUCCUCCUGCCAGACAAGUGCUGAUUGGAAAUACCCAUCAGACCUGCUCAUCUGCUUGGAAGAAAUCCAGAGCAGGGAAGUCCAGCGGAAGCAGGAAAAACCUGUAUUGUUGGAAUAAUAUACAGUUUGUCAGUAGCAAUCUAUAGGAAUAUAAUUAUAAACAGGGAAGUGCAAAACUUCCAGCUUUUUGGAAACAAUUGUAGGUGUCAUCAUCUGUACUAAAAAUACCUGACAGCACUUCACAGCUCAGGAAUGCUU